UUCGACUGUGGGCUUUCACAGAGCCAUGCAGCUGAAGACCUAAUAAACAGAGAUCAUGUACAACUUUAAGACUUCUGGAAGAAUUUUGGACAAGUGACUGGCCUUCCAAAAGGGGCAAAUCUUGUGCUUUCAUAGUUGCUGCGUUGCAGGAAACUACUGUAUUUCUUGAUGGUUCAUGAAGUAUUUAAAUCUACAAAGUUGCUGAUUUAAAUUAUUUUAAUGCAGCAGUCAUGAAACUCGUCUUACAUUUAAAGGUAUUAUUGAUUGAUUGGUUUUUUUGGGGAGGGGGUGCAGAUUUUUAUUUUAAUUUCAGCAUGAACCACUCUUGUUUAAAAACAAGUUACUUCAGUGCCUUUGUUAAACUCAAGUUGCCUCUUGUACCACUUACAUUAGUGGUAGUAGGCUGUUCAGCUGUUAAGCUAAAAGACCCAUCACCCAGGUACUUGCUACCUUAACUUUUGCAGCUUCCAUUAACUCUUGCAGCUACAAUCCUACCUUGUUAGUGUAUUUUUGUGUGGGAAAUUCUGACAACACCGUAAGGAAUCCCAAAACACUAUGACGAAAAGAACCCAGUGCAUCUAAUGCCCUGCUCUGUGCCACCCUUUCCCGGUGGAGGUGAUACCAAACUGGACUUUGUAUUGAAGGUAACGAGGAGCACUCAAGGUGAACUCAGCUGAGCACUAUAAAGAUGGCAUCCAGAAAAGCUGAUCCAGGGCACAACAGUCAACUUUCUGCUCUACCAUCAUCCAUGAACAUACUCCCCUUCCACUGGCUAGACAAGCCCUUGUGUGUGCAGCGAAAGGUCAAAACCUAAAUCUCUGAAGGCAGAUUUCUUUGCUGUAACUGGAUCCCAUGUAUCACCAUCAGGCCAUUUAGAUUACGUUGAGAGCCACUGCUGGACCCUUGAGAGAGACUUACCUGAAA